UAGACGAUUACACGUACCGCAUAAAGUUUUUACGGGUAUAACGACGAACAAGUUAUUUCGCGCAACGACAUCGUAGGCAUAUGAAUAGCGAAUGAAACUUUUGUAGUAACUGCAGAAGUAAAUAUGCGCGUGUGUUUUAGUUCGGGAUGACCGAUUCGGGCCGAGUUCACAUCAGGAGAUGGCACGACGAUUCGCGAAACUACAUUCGGUGUUAAAGACUAAAUUAAAUUAUCUGCUCCUAAACUCGACAAAAUCAAUAACGACAGUAAAAGAUAAACACACCAUCGUCACACUCUCGCUCUGCCUAGAAUAUAAAACUAUAGAUAUCAUAGUUGUCUAUCCAUUAUUAUUAACAUAAUAAUAUGGUUAUUUUAUAAUAAAAGUCUUAUAAAUCAUACAAGUUUAAAAA